AAAGGAAUUGACGGGGGCCCGCACAAGCGGUGGAGCAUGUGGUUUAAUUCGACGCAACGCGAAGAACCUUACCCAGACUUGACAUGCAGUGGACGGGUGUGGAAACACACCUUCCCUUCGGGGCCGCUGCACAGGUGCUGCAUGGCUGUCGUCAGCUCGUGUCGUGAGAUGUUGGGUUAAGUCCCGCAACGAGCGCAACCCUUGUCUCUAGUUGCUAACAGGUGAUGCUGAGCACUCUAGAGAGACUGCCGGUGAUAAACCGGAGGAAGGUGGGGAUGACGUCAAGUCCUCAUGGCCCUUACGUCUGGGGCUACACACGUGCUACAAUGGCCGGUACAAAGGGUUCCGAUACCGCGAGGUGGAGGCAAUCCCAAAAAACCGGUCUCAGUUCGGAUUGCAGUCUGCAACUCGACUGCAUGAAGUCGGAAUCGCUAGUAAUCGCUGAUCAGCAGGCAGCGGUGAAUACGUUCCCGGGCCUUGUACACACCGCCCGU
rnacentral:rRNA from 1 species